UACGAAGGGUGCAAGCGUUACUCGGAAUUACUGGGCGUAAAGCGUGCGUAGGUGGUGAGUUAAGUCGGAUGUGAAAGCCCCGGGCUCAACCCGGGAAGUGCAUACGAAACUGGCAGGCUUGAAUAUGGAAGAGGGUCGCGGAAUUCCCGGUGUAGAGGUGAAAUUCGUAGAUAUCGGGAGGAACACCAGUGGCGAAGGCGGCGACCUGGGCCAAUAUUGACGCUGAGGUGCGAAAGCGUGGGGAGCAAACAGG
rnacentral:rRNA from 1 species